AUAUUGUGGAAAAAUAUGUGUUUGAUUAAGUCUUGGUCUUAUUUGCACAUUAAAUAAGAAGAAGCACUCGUAGGGCACAUGGUUUCUUCAUUUCUUUAUAUGUGUAUAAAAGCCGAAUAGAUGUUUGAUAAUAUUCAUUCACAAAAACAAAGAUGGGUUUCCCUGUUAAGAAACCAAUGGCAAUGGUCCUCCUUUUGACUAUCUUUCUUCUGAUAUCUUAUUCGUAUGCGCAGGGUGGUUAUUCCGGGGACCCCAUUUAUAAGAGUGAUCCUUUUCCUGGAAGUGGAAGUGGUGGCAAGUAUCCUACGCCCCCGUAAUUAUAUCGAUGUGCAAUUCUCUUUGUAUUAUGCAAAUUUGAAGACGUCUUAUAACUAAUGUGUAAUUUAUAUA